rnacentral:rRNA from 1 species
AACGAACGCUGGCGGCACGCCUAAUACAUGCAAGUCGAACGAGAUCUUCGGAUCUAGUGGCGCACGGGUGCGUAACGCGUGGGAAUCUGCCCUUGGGUUCGGAAUAACAUCUGGAAACGGAUGCUAAUACCGGAUGAUGACGUAAGUCCAAAGAUUUAUCGCCCAAGGAUGAGCCCGCGUAGGAUUAGCUAGUUGGUGAGGUAAAGGCUCACCAAGGCUACGAUCCUUAGCUGGUCUGAGAGGAUGAUCAGCCACACUGGGACUGAGACACGGCCCAGACUCCUACGGGAGGCAGCAGUAGGGAAUAUUGGACAAUGGGGGCAACCCUGAUCCAGCAAUGCCGCGUGAGUGAUGAAGGCCUUAGGGUUGUAAAGCUCUUUUACCCGAGAUGAUAAUGACAGUAUCGGGAGAAUAAGCUCCGGCUAACUCCGUGCCAGCAGCCGCGGUAAUACGGAGGGAGCUAGCGUUGUUCGGAAUUACUGGGCGUAAAGCGCACGUAGGCGGUUAUUUAAGUCAGAGGUGAAAGCCCGGGGCUCAACCCCGGAACUGCCUUUGAGACUGGAUAACUUGAAUCCAGGAGAGGUGAGUGGAAUUCCGAGUGUAGAGGUGAAAUUCGUAGAUAUUCGGAAGAACACCAGUGGCGAAGGCGGCUCACUGGA